ACGGAAGGCAGCAGUGGGGGAUAUUGGUCAAUGGGGGAAACCCUGAACCAGCAAUGCCGCGUGAGGGAAGAAGGUCUUCGGAUUGUAAACCUAAGUAGUCAGGGACGAAGAAAUGACGGUACCUGAAGAGUAAGCUCCGGCUAACUACGUGCCAGCAGCCGCGGUAAUACGUAGGGAGCGAGCGUUGUCCGGAUUUACUGGGUGUAAAGGGUGCGUAGGCGGGAUGGCAAGUCAGAUGUGAAAUACCGGGGCUUAACCCCGGGGCUGCAUUUGAAACUGUCGUUCUUGAGUGAAGUAGAGGCAGGCGGAAUUCCUAGUGUAGCGGUGAAAUGCGUAGAUAUUAGGAGGAACACCAGUGGCGAAGGCGGCCUGCUGGGCUUUAACUGACGCUGAGGCACGAAAGCAUGGGGAGCAAACAGGAUUAGAUACCCUGGUA
rnacentral:rRNA from 1 species